CGUACACUCCUGCGGGAGGCAGCAGUGGGGAAUAUUGCACAAUGGGCGCAAGCCUGAUGCAGCCAUGCCGCGUGUAUGAAGAAGGCCUUCGGGUUGUAAAGUACUUUCAGCGGGGAGGAAGGCGAUAAGGUUAAUAACCUUGUCGAUUGACGUUACCCGCAGAAGAAGCACCGGCUAACUCCGUGCCAGCAGCCGCGGUAAUACGGAGGGUGCAAGCGUUAAUCGGAAUUACUGGGCGUAAAGCGCACGCAGGCGGUCUGUCAAGUCGGAUGUGAAAUCCCCGGGCUCAACCUGGGAACUGCAUUCGAAACUGGCAGGCUAGAGUCUUGUAGAGGGGGGUAGAAUUCCAGGUGUAGCGGUGAAAUGCGUAGAGAUCUGGAGGAAUACCGGUGGCGAAGGCGGCCCCCUGGACAAAGACUGACGCUCAGGUGCGAAAGCGUGGGGAGCAAACAGGAUUAGAAACCCGGGUAGUCCCAUG
rnacentral:rRNA from 1 species